rnacentral:lncRNA from 1 species
CAUAGACAUGAUUAAUGGCACCUCAUUACACCUGACAGCAACUGCUAAAGCUUACAAAAUUAGUCACAUCUUUUAAAAAUCUAGCUGCAGUGUCUGGAACCCUGUACUGAUGAAUACCAGGCUGGAUGCACACUGUGGCCUUUCUUGGACUGCCCAGGUAGACCCCAGCUAAAUGGAGAAAGAAGGAGUUACGAGAAGAAUCCUGUCUUCAAUCCUUGCCCAGUGAGGCUCAGCCUCACAAGGACACUUCCAAAUUGCCUGCUGCUCUGCCAGAUCCACAACUACAAGAAUGGCUGUGGUGACAAUCGCUUUCUUAUAAGGUCCUGCCCAAGAAAUCAGCCCCUUGCUCUACUGCCUCAUUCAAGUGGGGAGAGUUCGUUGUGCUUGCAGCCCAUUGAGCUGGAAGGAGCUGCUCUCUGUCUUAGACUUGCCCUGGACUGGCUCAAGGGUGCCUGCUCCCACAGCCUCCUCUGUUUCCAAAGGUAAAAUGUACAAACCAGUGCCAGAUAAAUCUAUGUGGGAUUCACCUCUUUGACCACCAGGCCUUAGAGUUAGGAUUCUUCUUUCUCAUUCAAUAAAUAUAUACAUUUUUUCCUGGAAAACAGGACUGUAUUGUAAAGAGAAGUGAAGGAUGAUAUUUCCAACUCAUAUGCCUUACAGAGAGAGUGACCAAGAGCCUUCUGCAUGAAGUAGCAUAUCUCCUCAGGCACAAAUGGGGAGAGAGCACUUUG